rnacentral:rRNA from 1 species
GUUGAACGCUGGCGGAAUGCUUUACACAUGCAAGUCGAACGGCAGCACGGACUUCGGUCUGGUGGCGAGUGGCGAACGGGUGAGUAAUGUAUCGGAACGUGCCCAGUCGUGGGGGAUAACGUAGUGAAAAUUACGCUAAUACCGCAUACGAUCUAUGGAUGAAAGCGGGGGAUCGCAAGACCUCGCGCGAUUGGAGCGGCCGAUAUCAGAUUAGGUAGUUGGUGGGGUAAAGGCCCACCAAGCCAACGAUCUGUAGCUGGUCUGAGAGGACGACCAGCCACACUGGAACUGAGACACGGUCCAGACUCCUACGGGAGGCAGCAGUGGGGAAUUUUGGACAAUGGGCGAAAGCCUGAUUCAGCCAUUCCGCGUGCAGGAUGAAGGCCCUCGGGUUGUAAACUGCUUUUGUACAGAACGAAAAGGUUUCUACUAAUACUAGGAGCUCAUGACGGUACUGUAAGGAUAAGCACCGGCUAACUACGUGCCAGCAGCCGCCGUAA